rnacentral:rRNA from 1 species
UACGUAGGUGGCAAGCGUUGUCCGGAUUUACUGGGCGUAAAGGGCGUGCAGGCGGUUUGUUAAGUGCAGGGUGAAAGCUCCCGGCUCAACUGGGAGAGGUCCUUGCAUACUGGCAAACUCGAGGGAGGCAGAGGAAAGUGGAAUUCCCGGUGUAGUGGUGAUAUGCGUAGAUAUCGGGAGGAACACCUGUGGCGAAGGCGGCUUUCUGGACCUUACCUGACGCUGAGACGCGAAAGCGUGGGGAGCGAACAGG